rnacentral:tRNA from 1 species
UCCCUGGUGGCUCAGAGGUUAAAGCAUCUGCCUGCAAUGUGGGAGAUCCAGGUUCGAUCCCUGGGUUGGGAA